rnacentral:rRNA from 1 species
GAUUAACGCUGGCGGCGUGCAUAACACAUGCAAGUCGAACGAUGAAACUUAACUGAUUUCUUCGGAAUGAUUUUAAGUGGAUUAGUGGCGGACGGGUGAGUAACGCGUGAGUAACCUGCCUUGGAGAAGGGGAUAGCCUUUGGAAACGAAGAAUAAUACCCUAUGAUAUGGUAAUAUCUCAUGAUAUUAUCAUCAAAGAUUUAUCGCUCUAAGAUGGACUUGCGUCUGAUUAGUUAGUUGGUGAGGUAACAGCUCACCAAGGCAGCGAUCAGUAGCCGGCUUGAGAGAGUGUACGGCCACAUUGGGACUGAGACACGGCCCAGACUCCUACGGGAGGCAGCAGUGGGGAAUUUUGCACAAUGGGGGAAACCCUGAUGCAGCGACGCCGCGUGAUUUAGAAGGCCUUCGGGUUGUAAAAAUCUUUUGUAUGGGAAGAAAAUGACAGUACCAUACGAAUAAGGACCGGCUAAUUACGUG